rnacentral:rRNA from 1 species
UGGGGAAUAGUGGACAAUGGAGGAAACUCUGAUCCAGCAAUUCUGUGUGUGUGAAGAAGGUUUUAGGACUGUAAAACACUUGUAGUAGGGAAGAAAAAAAUGACGGUACCUACAGAAGAAGCAACGGCUAAAUACGUGCCAGCAGCCGCGGUAAUACGUAUAGUGCGAGCGUUAUCCGGAAUUAUUGGGCUUAAAGGGCAUCUAGGCGGUAAGACAAGUUGAAGGUGAAAACCUGUGGCUCAACCAUAGGCUUGCCUACAAAACUGUUGAACUAGAGUACUGGAGAGGUGGGUGGAACAACACGAGUAGAGGUGAAAUUCGUAUAUAUGUGUAGGAAUGCCGAUGAUGAAGAUAACUCUCUGUACAGAAACUGUCGCUGAAAUGCGAAAGCUAGGGGAGCAAACAGG